CGCAGGCGCGCCCUGUGUGCUCCGCCUGGAACGCGGGGCCCAAGCCGGGAGACCCCCGCCGGCUGCUGGGCGUGGUAGCUGGGUCCCGAGUUGCUAAGAGUCUUAGUUUUCUUUCCAUCAGAUCUCUUUAUCUCCAAUCACUAUGUUAAAAUGUUUACAGUUUCCAUCCUAAAAGUGCAAUGACGUCAGAACUCCGCUGUAACUUAAGUACCACGCAUUUUUAGUAGCUACAUGUCUCCCAAGCCCUGGAAUUUCUGUAACAAUUCUAAUUCAAUGUAGUGGCCUGUCCCUAAGAGAUAGACAAAUGGGCACCUGGCUUCCUAUAGUGUCUAGAUCACUGACUUGUCAUCUCACAACUCACUGGCACUCAAAACGAUGUGGGUGGACCUGUGAUGAUCCUUAUAGCUGCUUUAGUUUGAUGAGAUGUCCAGGGCUGUGGCAGUCAUCCUGCAACCAUGAUGUAACAAGUACAAAGAUGAGAGUCAACAUAUUUAGGAUGACGGAGAGGAGGAAUGGAAAGAACCUGAGUCACUGAUGACAUCGGCAAACUGCUAAACCUAUUCAGGGACCACCUAUCUUCAUCCUUUUUGUUCAAUAGACAAUAAAUGGCCUAUGGUUAGGUCUCUUUUAGCUGGGGUUUCAGUUGUUUGCACUAAAAGCAUGCAAUUGACACAGCAGGGAUGUGACAUAUCUGAUUUAAAUAUAUUUUAAAAAUUUCUCUGGCAACUGUAUGAAGAGAUUGUAAGGAGCAAGAAUGGAACAGAAGCAUGGAAGACUACUGCAGUAGUCCUGAGGAGGGAUCAUAGUGGCCUGGCCUAGGGAGGAAGCAGUAAAGCUGGACAGAAAUAGAUAGACUCAAGAUGUAUUGGAGGGCAAAAACCACAGGACUUGCUGUUUGUAUAAGAGGUACAGGAGAGGGGGGAAUUAAGGCUGACCUCUAGGUGUUGGACUUGGUGGUGGUGCCAUUUAUUGACAUAGAGAAGGCAGGAAGAAAAGGUUUGGGGAACAGGAUGGGAUCACGUGUACUUUUUUGGAUGUAUUAAAUUUAAGAUUUCUAUGAGCCAUUCAAAAAGAGAUGUCAAAUCAGCAGGUAGACUUAUGAGUUUGAAACACUGGGGUAAGGUUAUGGCUUGGAUUUCAAUUUGGAAAUUGCCGAUACACAGAUGUCAUUUAAUGCCACAGGAAUAGACAAGAUUUUCCCCACUUGCCAAAAUCUGAGGAAAUCUAAAAUUAGAAGUCAGCUAGAAGGGAAGGAGACUGAGGAGAAGUAGUAAGGUAGGAAAACAACAACAACAACUGCAACGACAACACUUAGCAUUUAUUUAUAUAGCACUUACUUUAUGCCAGACACUGUUAAAAGCACUUUGCGGCUUCAUGGAAGCAAAAAGAAAAGUGUUUUCCCUUAUUUCCCCCUUUGUUUUCUCCUGUGGCUUUCACCCAUAAACUCAGAAGGUUUAGAUGCAAAAGUGC